CCUUCACGUACGAGGGUUCCGCCCUCAUGACCCUCCGCGUACGAGGGUUCCGCCCUCAUGACCUUGUUACCUCCCAGAGGUCCUGCCUCCUGGCCCCAUCACCUUGCAGGUCAAUGUGAAGUCAACGUCUAAUGGAGCCGAGUUCAGGCAAGAGCACACACCAGUUGUUCCAGGGAAGAAUCUCAUGGUGAAGCAGUAGUGAGCGUCCAAGCAACUUCCAGCCUGACCUCAGGGGUCUGACUGUGGGGCUGCUUCUGCCACGGCUCCUGGCUGGCGAUGGGGCUGUCAGCGUGUUAGCUAACCGUGCAUUGCAGAAGCACUUUGAAGAAAAUUAAUGUACCUGGGUACUUAUGGGACUCCCUGCAUGAGUGGGUAUAAUUGAAACAGCCGGGACAUCAAAAAGCUGGAACACUGGGAGCCUGGCCCUAGGGUGGCGGAGGCCACAACGGAACCCCCAGCCGGUUGGAAAGAGGCUUCCUAUGCUCUCCUUUCCAUGCCACUGCGGCAGUGUUAGGGAACAGGAAAACCAGGGCGUUGCAAAGUGAAUAAUAACAACCAUGCGUGCAGCGUUCACGGUAUCCCAGGCUCAGUGAGCCUUUCACUCAGGGUCUCAUGUGAUGCUGAAAACAAUCCCACGAAGUUUAGAAGCCUGUGUACACGAAGUGGUGUUUUCCUAUUGAUCCAAACUGCGUGCUGACCUGUUCCUGCCUGGGCUGCGCUCCUCCUGCUUUGCCCUGGCUCUCCCGUUCUGUACUCCCUCUCCUGCCGGGAAUUCCUGGAAGCACCUUUUAUUCACAGUGCCUAUUUUGAAUAGAUACAAAUACAAUUUGUAUCUUAUGUAGCCCAUUCCACACAAUUGAAAAUAUAAUGUAAUAAAAAUCAGAAAAGUAAA